rnacentral:rRNA from 1 species
GAGUGAUGGGCUCGAAGCUAACGCGAUAAAUCGACGCUGGGAGUACGGCCGCAAGGUUAAAACUCAAAUGAAUUGACGGGGGCCCGCACAAGCGGUGGAGCAUGUGGUUUAAUUCGAUGCAACGCGAAGAACUUUACCUGGUCUUGACAUCCAUAGAAUUCUGCAGAGAUGUGGGAGUGCUUCGGGAACUAUGAGACAGGUGCUGCAUGGCUGUCGUCAGCUCGUGUUGUGAAAUGUUGGGUUAAGUCCCGCAACGAGCGCAACCCUUAUUCUUUGUUGCCAGCGAUUUGGUCGGGAACUCAAAGGAGACUGCCGUUGAUAAAGCGGAGGAAGGUGGGGACGACGUCAAGUCAUCAUGGCCCUUACGACCAGGGCUACACACGUGCUACAAUGGCGUAUACAAAGGGAAGCGAAGGUGCGAGCUGGAGCGGAUCUCAUAAAGUACGUCUAAGUUCGGAUUGGAGUCUGCAACUCGACUCCAUGAAGUCGGAAUCGCUAGUAAUCGUAGAUCAGAAUACUACGGUGAAUACGUUCCCGGGCCUUGUACACACUGCCCGUCACACCAUGGGAGUGGGUUGCACCAGAAGUAGAUAGCUUAACCGCGAGGGGGGCGUUUACCACGGUGUGAUUCAUGACUGGGGUGAAGUCGUAACAAGGUAACCA